rnacentral:rRNA from 1 species
UACAGAGGGUGCGAGCGUUGUCCGGAAUCACUGGGCGUAAAGGGCGCGUAGGUGGCGACCCAAGUCGAUGGUGAAAGCUCGCCGCUCAACGGCGAGUCGGCCACCGAUACUGGGUUGCUGGAGCACUGUAGAGGCAGAUGGAAUUCCUGGUGUAGCGGUGGAAUGCGCAGAUAUCAGGAGGAACACCGAUGGCGAAGGCAGAUCUCUGGGCCGUAACUGACGCUGAGGAGCGAAAGCGUGGGGAGCGAACAGG